CACUUCUUAGUCUCGUGGCUGGGGAGGGUCGGAGAGGGAGGUGGGGGCAUCAGCUGGGGAGCAGGGUUUUGCAUUGAGAGGCGGGGGUGAGCAGGGUAAAGGAACCUCUGCCCCCAAGGUGCCAAUAAAAUCCCCAUAAGAUUAGCUGGGAGCAUAUUUAUUGCUCAUCUAGGGUUAGAAUUACCUUGAUUGACAGCAAUUCCUUUAAUAACAAAAGCCUGUAAACAGGAUGUCCUACCAGGGCGCCCCCUGAGCUGCGCAGGCCGCGCGUCUUCUGUCCUUGGGUCCCCCUUGGGCUGCCCUAGCCUGGCACCCACCUUGCCACCUCCCGCCCUCCCCGCCCCCCCCGGGGAGAACGUCUGCUGUGCCAGAGGGUGGGACCCUGCUAUUUAGAGAUGCCUGUUGCAGGAAGUCUGGGAGCCAGAAGCGACAGGAAGGAGGGAUUCAAAGACGGACCCGAUUUCCCCUCCCACCGCACCCCGCUUGCUCGCAGGAGAGAGGUCGGACGGGGGCUCCCUCCUGUCUCCAUUCAGCCCCCCAGACGCGGACCAGAGGGCAGGCCGAUGCCAUCCUCACCCCCAGGCCCUGGCUAAAGGCAGGACUCUGUCAAAGUGCCUGUCCCCUCCCACCUUGGAGUCCUCUAAAAAUGGAGAAGAACCCCAACCUGAGAGAGCUCGGCCCCUUGGUCCCAGCCGCGCCUGGUGUCCGCGGGCCUGCUCCGGAGCCGGGGAGCCUGGAGCGGGAACGCCCGCAGCCUGUUGUCAUCUGUCAUCUGUUAUCCUCGGAGCCGCCUAGUGGCCUGCCCGGGACACUGCGCCUCCAGGCCGCCCCCGCCGCUGCCU
rnacentral:lncRNA from 1 species